rnacentral:rRNA from 1 species
UGGGCUUGACAUGUUCCGGAUCGCUCCAGAGAUGGGGUUUCCCUUCGGGGCCGGUUCACAGGUGGUGCAUGGUCGUCGUCAGCUCGUGUCGUGAGAUGUUGGGUUAAGUCCCGCAACGAGCGCAACCCUCGCCGCGUGUUGCCAGCACAUUAUGGUGGGAACUCACGUGGGACCGCCGGGGUUAACUCGGAGGAAGGUGGGGAUGACGUCAGAUCAUCAUGCCCCUUACGUCCAGGGCUUCACGCAUGCUACAAUGGCCGGUACAACGGGAUGCGACACCGCGAGGUGGGGCGGAUCCCUGAAAACCGGUCUCAGUUCGGAUCGCAGUCUGCAACUCGACUGCGUGAAGGUGGAGUCGCUAGUAAUCGCGGAUCAGCAACGCCGCGGUGAAUGCGUUCCCGGGCC